AAGACCUUGCGCUUUGGGAGCGGCCGAUGUCUGAUUAGCUAGUUGGUGGGGUAAAGGCCUACCAAGGCGACGAUCAGUAGUUGGUCUGAGAGGACGACCAGCCACACUGGGACUGAGACACGGCCCAGACUCCUACGGGAGGCAGCAGUGGGGAAUUUUGGACAAUGGGCGCAAGCCUGAUCCAGCAAUGCCGCGUGAGUGAAGAAGGCCUUCGGGUUGUAAAGCUCUUUCAGUCGAGAAGAAAAAGCUGCAGUGAAUAACUGUAGUUCAUGACGGUAUCGACAGAAGAAGCACCGGCUAACUACGUGCCAGCAGCCGCGGUAAUACGUAGGGUGCGAGCGUUAAUCGGAAUUACUGGGCGUAAAGGGUGCGCAGGCGGCUUUGUAAGUCAGAUGUGAAAUCCCCGGGCUUAACCUGGGAAUU
rnacentral:rRNA from 1 species